rnacentral:rRNA from 1 species
GACGAACGCUGGCGGCGCGCUUAACACAUGCAAGUCGAACGGAAAGGCCUGCUUUCCCUUGUGUAUUGCGGGUACUCGAGUGGCGAACGGGUGAGUAACACGUGAGUGAUCUGCCCCCAACUUGGGUAUAAGCCUGGGAAACUGGGUCUAAUUCCCGAUAGCACUGCAGGGUGGUGCCUGUGGUGGAAAACGAUUUUCUAGUGGUUGGGGAUGAGCUCGCGGCCUAUCAGCUUGUUGGUGGGGUAAUGGCCUACCAAGGCGGCGUCGGGUAGCCGGCCUGGGAGGGUGGACGGGCACAUUGGGACUGAGAUACGGCCCAGACUCCUACGGGAGGCAGCAGUGGGGAAGAAUGCACAGUGGGCGGAAGCCUGAGGCAGCGACGCUGCGUGGGGGAUGACGGCCUUCGGGUUGUAAACUCCUUUCGACCGCGAGGAAGCCACCUGGUUGGAAGGGUGGUGACGGUAGUGGUAGAAGAAGCACCGGCUAACUACGUG